rnacentral:rRNA from 1 species
UGGGGAAUAUUGGACAAUGGGCGCAAGCCUGAUCCAGCAAUGCCGCGUGUGUGAAGAAGGCCUUCGGGUUGUAAAGCACUUUUAUCAGGAGCGAAAUACCACGGGUUAAUAUCCUAUGGGGCUGACGGUACCUGAGGAAUAAGCACCGGCUAACUUCGUGCCAGCAGCCGCGGUAAUACGAAGGGUGCAAGCGUUAAUCGGAAUUACUGGGCGUAAAGCGUGCGUAGGUGGUGAUUUAAGUCUGCUGUGAAAUCCCCGGGCUCAACCUGGGAAUGGCAGUUGAUACUGGAUCGCUAGAGUGUGAUAGAGGAUGGUGGAAUUCCCGGUGUAGCGGUAAAAUGCGUAGAGAUCGGGAGGAACAGCAGUGGCGAAGGCGGCCAUCUGGAUCAACACUGACACUGAGGCACGAAAGCGUGGGGAGCAAACAGG